rnacentral:rRNA from 1 species
AGUUUGAUCAUGGCUCAGGAUGAACGCUAGCGGCAGGCCUAACACAUGCAAGUCGAGGGGCAGCACAAAGAUAGUUUACUAUUUUGGUGGCGACCGGCGCACGGGUGAGUAACGCGUAUGCAACCUACCUUAUACAGGAGUAUAGCCCGAAGGAAUUCGGAUUAAUCCUCCAUAGUAUUUUCUAAUGGCAUCAUUUGGAAAAUUAAAGCUUCGGCGGUAUAAGAUGGGCAUGCGUCCUAUUAGCUAGAUGGUAAGGUAACGGCUUACCAUGGCAACGAUAGGUAGGGGGCCUGAGAGGGUGAUCCCCCACACUGGUACUGAGACACGGACCAGACUCCUACGGGAGGCAGCAGUGAGGAAUAUUGGGCAAUGGAGGCAACUCUGACCCAGCCAUGCCGCGUGCAGGAAGAAUGCCCUAUGGGUUGUAAACUGCUUUUAUUUAGGAAUAAACCCUUCUACGUGUAGAAGGCUGAAUGUACUAAACGAAUAAGCACCGGCUAACUCCGUGCCAGCAGCCGCGGUAAUACGGAGGGUGCAAGCGUUAUCCGGAAUCAUUGGGUUUAAAGGGUCCGCAGGCGGACGUAUAAGUCAGUGGUGAAAUCCUGCAGCUUAACUGCAAAACUGCCAUUGAUACUGUACGUCUUUGAAUUCGGUCGAA